AGUAAAAAGUGGCAAAAUAUUACUUUCCUUGCAACUUCAUUUUGACAACCAGAUCGUUUUUUUUUUUUCACAAGUUUUAAACACAUUUUACACAACGUAAAACAACUAAAUUGUUUCCCACACAGACAUUCAUUUUCCCCCAAUAAAAAUAUUUAAUUUAUAUAUAUGUACUCUAUAUCAAAAUUUAGAUAAUGAAUGCAUGUUCUUCAUAGAAGAGAUUUAUUCAGUUCUUGUGUUUUAUUGACAUAUCAGAUCCAAGCAAAAGUCACUUCACUGACCCAGAAAUAUUGUCUUAAAUAAAAGAUGAAUGUAAAAACUCUGAUAUCAAUAGGCUACGUUAACAUUUUCCUUUAUGCAAAAUAAAAAUAGUGUUUUGUUUUGUUUUUUUCUGCACAGACUGCUUUACAGAUAAUCUGAAUUUGGACAAAAAUAUUUAAAAUUAAUGCCAGUGGUGAAUGAAAAUGAAAUAAAACUUUCUGGCUUUUUUUUUAUUCUAGCAGAUAAGCCCAAGGUGUACCAGGGUGUGCGUGUGAAGACCACUGUUAAGGAGUUACUGCAGAAGCACAGAGCCCUGCAGGCACAGAAAACCGCAACGAAAUCACAAGCCAUGGCUGCUCGCGAUGUCUGCUCUACGACCAUGAAUACCCACCUUGAUGUCUUUGGAAUGCAAGCUCCAGAGCCCUAUUUCCAGACACGUCCCUUUACCGAAAAUGUCAAUAUCCCGAUGGAGAAUGCUUAUGAUCAUCAACAAAUGAUGCACCUGAUGCCACAUGAGACUUUCAGCGGCAGUAAUUUCGUGUGUCCCACUUCUUCGCAGUGGUCUAAUGGAUAUAUUCCUUCUAACACGGACCUCUAUGGUACUAGCCUGGUAUCGAGAUCACCCUCUGAUACUUUCAAUCUCCCAAGUCCAGUCGACUACAACAGUUACUCUCCCCCUCAGUCCAACUCUUCAUCUUCUUCGUGCUACAGCUCUCCAACGCGGAUGGAUUUGAGCUCUAGUUUCUCUCCAGAAAAUUACCACUAUCAGCAUUGCAACCUACAGAAUUGCUUUUGUCUUUCGCAUUGGUCCAAUCUGCAGGAAGGCAUGGCAACCUCGGAGUUUGCGCCCUACGGCUCUUCAGACUGUUUGUAUUCAUAUGGCGACGACAGUUAUUUCAGAAGGGAUACUUCAAACUCAGAGAUGUGUUUCUUAUAA
ensembl:lncRNA